rnacentral:rRNA from 1 species
GACGAACGCUGGCGGCGUGCUUAACACAUGCAAGUCGAACGGAAAGGCCCUUCGGGGUACUCGAGUGGCGAACGGGUGAGUAACACGUGGGUGAUCUGCCCUGCACUUUGGGAUAAGCCUGGGAAACUGGGUCUAAUACCGAAUAGGACCACGCGCUUCAUGGUGUUUGGUGGAAAGCUUUUGCGGUGUGGGAUGGGCCCGCGGCCUAUCAGCUUGUUGGUGGGGUAAUGGCCUACCAAGGCGACGACGGGUAGCCGGCCUGAGAGGGUGACCGGCCACACUGGGACUGAGAGACGGCCCAGACUCCUACGGGAGGCAGCAGUGGGGAAUAUUGCACAAUGGGCGCAAGCCUGAUGUAGCGACGCCGCGUGAGGGAUGACGGCCUUCGGGUUGUAAACCUCUUUCAAUAGGGACGAAGCGCAAGUGACGGUACCUAUAGAAGAAGAACCGGCCAACUACGUG